AUGCUGACAGUUACUCUGUGUUUCCUAGAUCAGGAUGAGGACCUGGUGCUGGAGCCUUCAUCUGAGGAUGUCCCAGGCAUUUACAUGGUGGACAAACCCACAGUGACAAACAGUACCUAUUCUGGGAUCACCCCUAUGCUGAGGAAAAAUUCUGGUGUUGACAAAGAUGGCGCUUUCUUGCCUCAUUUUCUGGAGAGCCACUCUGGUUUGAACUUCCUGCCAGAAACGAGGUUCAAGCACUUUUGUCCACAUGUCAGGCUGUCCCCGUGCUGGAGUCAGUGUGAGCAUGAGGAGCAGUGCACUCCGUGGUGCACACACAUCGUGUUGAAAAGGAAGAGUGGAAGGACAAAUACCAGAUGCUAAGUAGGGGUCAUCGUUAAAUGAAAUUGUCGGGAGUUCCACCGGAGGGUACGUAUUGUGGAGCCACUCUCACACUGAUGAGUCACCCAGAUGAUGAGGAAUGUGCCACUGCCUCGCUGGCCUUCCCGUAGACAGGCAGCCGGAGCUGAGCUUCCUCUCAUGAAUGAGGACCUAGGCUGUGAUGGGAGAAAUGCUUGUUCCACAUAGAGCCUGAUGGUCACAUUCUGCGGUCCCUGGGAGCAACUGCAUUCUCUGAGGAUAGGGUGAAGUUGUGCACAUUCAGUUGCUGCGUGUCUUUUUGAAUUCAUGUGGUGUAACUCUUGAGUGUCCAAAAUACAUAAUGUCAAGGUCAUAUAGAGGCUCAGCCUCUAUCAUGCAGCCUCCUCCUGGUUUCCGUGUUCUGUGCUCAGGAAACACAGCAUCAUGAAAAGGUAACCAAAGGGCUUGCCCUAGGCUGUGAGUGGCAGGGGGAGCACUUGCCUUCCUAGGAGGAUGGAGGGUGACUCAUGCAUUACGAGGUGGGGAGAGACAAAUGUGGCUGUGGGACAGCAGAGGCUCCAGGACGUCCCCAUUGAACCCACCGUGGACAAAGCUUUUUGUUUGCUUCUGAAGGCCUUUGCAAAAAACAAGUCAAGGUGGUUGGCUUAAGGUCAUAUGAAAAUAAAAUUAACCCAGUUCUGGAUUGAGUUUCUUUUGGGAGCCUGCCUUUGGUGGAAAUACAUUGUAUAUGGUUGAAUUUGAUUGCUCUGUAGGUGUCCAUACUUAACCCACAUUUUAAAACAAUGAGGCUGGUGUGAUUUUAAAAUGUCCCUCGUUAACCUCAGAAACUGUCUCCUCAUAACCCAAUUCCCCGAGUCAUCUCUAAUCUUUAGAAUACAGUUUUUUUGUGUGUGGUAUUCGGGGCCUUCUGCUGUGUGUGAUCAAAGGCACAAAUCAGCGUUACCAACACUGAGGUUCUAAGAAUUCCCAGACAGCUGCCCAGUGGGCUCUAUGAGAGAGAGCAGGUACAGCCUUGGCCUGGGCCUGAAAAGGAACAGGAUUUGGAGGAGCAGAAGGAAGGCAUGAGGGCAGUAGAGCCAUGGGGGGAAGCCGAGGUGCAACAUCAGGAAGUCAGUUCUUCAUCAUGACCUGGGCGUGGCCGGGAUGUUCAUAUUCCAGCUGAGGGAGAACGGGUCGAGCUCCGACUUCAUAGCUGGCGUUAGCACUGUCUGCCCGUCUUCCCGAGAGCCUGAAGAGAGAAGCUACUUUGUUGUUUCUUGUCUUCUCUAUUUCCCGUAUGUCGAUGGCAGUGGCACCACCAGAAAUUAAUGAGAGGCAGAGAACAGGAGUGAGUUCCCGAAAUAGCCAAUGUGGCCCAGAGAGGACAUGAUCGGCAGGGAUGGACUUCAGGGUCAGGCCGGACACAGAGUAGUUCCCAGGCCUGGUCUCUCUGGCUGGGACAGAGAUCAGCUCUUACUUUUCACCUGCUUCUGGGCGUGGCCUGACAGCUGGUCCUCGUGUAGUUGCUGUUAGCCAAGUGUGAUUUGGCCCAGAAUGCUGCGUGACUGAAGGGAGUGUCAGCUUUCAGGCAGAAUGGCUGCCCCACACUAGUUGCAGGGAAGGUGAGAAGGGACCCUGUUUCAGUGCAAGGUGAGCUCAGCAAAGGGAGCGGGGCUGCUCCUGAGUCCAGGUGGUCCUUGCACCUCUCGCGUGUGACCCAUGAGACAUCACUUCGCCUGUUUCUCUGAGAUAGUCUUGGAAGUAUUUGUCUCAAACUCUGUUUUGUUUUACUUAUGUGUGGAGGAAUCCUGGCUGUGGCUGGUCACUGGGAGGGCAAAGAUUAUGUCCCCCUCGUUCCUUCUCAUCCCAAAGCUCGGCCCUAGGCAGCCCAUCUUGGGCCCCAGUAAUGUUCCAGUGCUUCCAACCCCUUUGCUGAGAUCCAGCGCCAGUGUGAAAAGGCUUCCUGCUCAUCUUCUUCAAUCUAUUGUUUCUCAUGGUAGUCUAGAAACCUGAGUGGGUUCUGAUCCAAGGUCACAGGAGAAUAGGGGGGCUCCUGAAGUCACUGAAGUUUCCCCUCAUCUCUACUCUGGCUGCCUUGGUUCAGCUUUUCUCCUGCAGAAGAUGCUUUCUUUCUGUUUACAAGUCCUCCUCUGCUGGACCAGGUGUUUUUAUUCUUGUUGUGGCAUCCCUGCACUUCACAGGGGACCUGGAGCUUGUUCCUGUGCCCCUCAAGUACCCAUCCAUGAAUGAUCAAAUCAGAGCAAACCACUCUGCCAGGAAUCAGCAGGGGGGAAGAGUCACAUCUCCCUCACCUUUGGGUUUAGACCUGUGCAUUCCAGUGUGGUCCUCCGUGGCAUAUGUGCCCAUUCAUGUUUAAAUAAAUGAAAAAUUCAUAACCUCCUCACAAGAGCCAUACUAUAAGUUCCCAGUUGCCAAAUGUCUACUCUUAAGAGAGCAUCUCCAUUUUCCCUGAAUCACCUGGGAAGCAGCUGCUGUGAGUCUGGCCCAGAUUCUGUUCACUGCACUCACCUGACUCAGUGCAUGUGCAUCAAGGCUGGAAUCUCGGGUUCUCAGAUUGGAGGUAAGAGAUGCUCUGAGCCAGUGUCGGUGAACAGUUGAAAGGGAUUGUUCGGGUUCUCUGUCUCACCUGAAGGCUCACAACUGUCAGGGCCUUCCUAACGGCCCCUGAGUUCACAGAGCCCAGGGAGAAUCACCGUGGACUGAGCAGUAGUGCCGACGUUUGUGACUCUGUACUUGGGCUCAUGGGCACCACCUCUGGAUCCAUCCAGGGGGAAAUAGACUGGUCAGGUAGGGACCGACACUCCAGGGUUGACCAGUGAGGAGGGUUCUUGGGGAUUGGGUGACACUUGUUUUGGAGCCUGGGAUGGGAUCAGUGAAGUGACUAAAUAUGAAAGGAAAUAGGUGUAGAAGUCUGACUUGGGAUUUUUUGUAUCUUCAUGAGAAAGUCGUAAGAGUUUUGUCCUCAUGCGCUUUGUGCGAGUUGUGUUUGUCACCAUCCUUUCCUGCCCUGGUGUUUAAAGAUUACAUUUUGCAAAGACCAGAUCAUUCCUGCCUUUGCCACAGCAAGCACCAGAGCCCUGGGUUUGAUGAGGCAGCGUUUUGUUGUGAAUGGAGAUGACAGGAUGAGUGUGCAGGUGUAACGUUGAGUGUCAGGGGGACACAGCCCCUCACAGGUGCUACGUGAUCCUGACGACAAAGUCCUUCAUACGUGUGCCAGGAGCUGAAAGGAGCCCACUCUCUUUCUCUACACUCUCGGGACCUGCAACGGCACCUUCCCGUCCUGUCCUCAGCAUCUGCUGCUGCUCUAAGGGUGCUCCCUGGGUGGGAUGACACAGGGAGUCCUUCCUCUGGGAUUGCUGCGUGUGCCCCGGCAUCCUGGAGUCCUCAGGGCGGAACACUUGACUGAGCACAGUUUUGGCCUCCACUCCUCACCCAAUCCCAUCCAAUCCCAAUCCGUGGGCUUUGAAUGAAACCUACAUUGGCUUUCAUUGGAGAGGCCCAAGUCCAGCUGCGGCUCAAGGCCCUCUGUGGCUGGCAGGAAUCCUCGGGGAUAUGUGUGGAGGGGCUGCCGUGUUGCUGUAGGCAGUGGCUCUCGCCCUCCCUGUAGCCUGGUCCCUGGAAUCCACUGGGCCCAGGGCAGAGCCUCUGGGCAGCCACCAUAGGGGUCACUUGUCUUGUGACCCCCUCCUCUCUGGCCCAACAGCCUUGUCCUGCUCCCCACACUCCAGUAAGACCCAGCUUGUCUCUGUGUCAGGCCUGCCAGGUGCCCUCCCACCUAGUCUUCCCAACAGCUCAGGCAAACCCUGGGAGGCCCCCUCAUUUCUGUGCUGACAACUGCUGACCUCACCUGCAGAUUGAAGCAACCGGGACAAGGGGCUUUACCUUGAAUUCUGUUCCAUUGUUUCCAAAUAUUCAGAAGCUGGUGGGAUUCUUUUGAGGGCUGAAUAUUUUCCAAGUCUCUAAGGUCAUUCCAGGCAUAGAACAGUCACUCUAUCUGUGAUAUCGGUCAUCAUCACCUCCCACAGGCCCCAACACAACCCCAGGCCUGGGCAGGUGCUGCCGACCCAGGGUGUGAUCUGUGUGUUGACUGGAGGUUGGCAGUGCAGCCUUGGCCUUCUUUCCGAUGUUCUAUUGGAGAACAGUAGGACUGGUGGAGGUCCACAAGGAGGAAGGAAAUGGGAUUCAUGAGGGAACAGAAGCAGGCCCUACAGGAGGAGGAGGGAGGGAUUCCACGUCAUGCACGACGUUGUGAAGAGGGCGGCUGCCUCUUGGAGGAACAGAAUGACACGGCUUCCCCUCCCUUGGCUCAGUUAUGGAAUGUGAGGGCUGGGAAAGUGUGUGGGAAGUCAGAGGUCCCUCCCUCAUAGCACAGAGGAAAUGAUACGGGCUGAGGAGAAGUCUCCAGAAAUGGGCACAUCAGAGGCUCUGGGGUUGGCUCCACAGGCCCAGGACAGCGGAGUCUGAGGGGUUCUCUCAGCUCUAACUCUCCCCUUUCCUUCUUAUGGCCACCCCAUCACCGCUGCUCCUCCGGACACUCUGAUGCUUGCUUCCCAGAACUGGGAGACUCCACCAUUACAGGCAGCCGCCAGCAG
rnacentral:lncRNA from 1 species